rnacentral:rRNA from 1 species
ACAGCCCAGCGCAUAACCUCCCGGGCUACCAAGCCUGCGGCGGGAUGUUGCGUUAAGGGAAAGGUCGAUUCAAAGCCCCGCACCCACCAUACUCUAAGUAUGGUUUGAAUUUCCACUGUAUCCUAACGGCUGCAAAGGCUCCACAGAGGGUGUAAGACCCGUGUGAGUGCGUGGUUAUUUGUGCGCGGGUUCGGCUUUUAUUCCCUGAGAGUCGCGUUGCUUGAACUUGCAGCGCUAAGCAGGUCGUAAACUCGACCUAAGGCUAAAUAUUUUCACAGAACCGAUAGCAAACAAGUACCGUGAGGGAAAGUUGAAAAGGACUCUGAAGAGAGAGUUAAAAGACCGUGAAACCGCUUAGAGUAUAAGCCGAUGGUAUUCUGGAAGGCUGGAGCAAACCCUUUCCCCUGUGGGAGAAGGUUAUCGUGUGUGAUAGAAGAAGGUACGGUGGGGAAGAAAGUGGCAUUGAGUUGAUAACACGCCAACCAGAUCUCGCGGGUCUCUGACAGUGGUAACAGGGGACGUUCUAAUGAGGAACUGAACCGAGGCUGGGCUUGAGCGAGCGCCUACUUUGAGUCACACUAACGAAUUGCUUUAACACUGCCGCACCGCAAUCCUUUGUAAGGUCUCCCUCACGACCGGAGCAAUUGCCGCGUAGUCUGGAGGGGCGAAUUUUCUCUGUCACUAUGCUCGCGGGAACAGGAACGGCCGACUCGCGCGCAUAGCUGUUUGCCAAACGUGAGCGGAAUGAUCCUAUGCGAAGAUUGUUUCUGACCUGCCUAAACCCUGAACCUGGGUCUUACCGAAGAUUACGAAGUCCUCUGUCGCUGCUGGUCAGCCAUGAUUCGUGUACGUACCGUAGGGGGAGGCUGUUCGGUGUAUUAUUUCAGAGCCAUUGGUCACGUCUCGAAACACGGGCCAAGGAGCAUAGCAUGUGCGCAAGUCUAAGGGAUAUUGAAUCCUGGAGGCGAAGUGAAAGCAAAUGGUGUGUCCGUGGCGCUUUACUGCGCUGCGGACAGCUCGUGAUAGAGCGCAAUUCCUACGUGGAUGAAUGCGUCACCGACUUAAACCGGGUUGAUCCCUCGUAAUCAAGCCACCGUGGCGAUACGAAGGCGYAAACCCCAGGCUCUCUGAUAAGGGUAUGUAUCCUUGAGAGCACUGUUGAGCGUUCAUGCUAUAACCCGAAAGAUAGUGAACUAUGCCUGGCGA